AUGAUAACUUUAGGUGAUCCUCCCUUUCCUGAUCUGGAUCCAUCAGAGAUGUCCCCCAAAACUUUGGCCAAUUACAGGCUAAAAAGACCAGAAAACUGUGGAGGAGCACUAUAUGACCUGAUGAAAUACUGCUGCAUGUGGAACUUUAAGCACCGCCCAGCGUACUCCGACAUCAUCAAGCUGCUGGACUCAUACCUCCACCUGGCUGAUACCAAACCCCUCCGUGCAGCACAGAGCAUGGACGUCUCUGAAUACAGGAAGAGGGCGGGGCUUAGCCGAGAGCAUCGAAAACAUGAACAUGAAUAUUUAAAAUCUGCUCAUUAAUGCAACGAUUUGAGAUCUUAGAGCAACAUUCGCUUGCUGUCUUGAGGACGUUUAUGCAAUUUUUAAACAAGACAAUGUAAAACCACAUGCUGCACAUUACAUUACAGAGGCCAGGCUGCAGUGCUGACCUCUCCACCACCAUAGAUAACUUGGAGAAUUCUAUUUUUCGCAAUAUAAGGCGCACCGGAUCAAUAAACAUCUAUGUUAUGGUCUAUUUUCA
rnacentral:lncRNA from 1 species